UUAUCGUUUAUUUGAUAAUACCUUACUACUUGGAUAACCGUGGUAAUUCUAGAGCUAAUACAUGCUGAAAAUCCCGACUUCGGAAGGGAUGUGUUUAUUAGAUAAAAAACCAAUGCCCUUCGGGGCUCUUUGGUGAUUCAUGAUAACUUUACGGAUCGCAUAGCCUUGCGCUGGCGACGGUUCAUUCAAAUUUCUGCCCUAUCAACUUUCGAUGGUAAGGUAUUGGCUUACCAUGGUUUCAACGGGUAACGGGGAAUUAGGGUUCGAUUCCGGAGAGGGAGCCUGAGAAACGGCUACCACAUCCAAGGAAGGCAGCAGGCGCGCAAAUUACCCAAUCCCGACACGGGGAGGUAGUGACAAUAAAUACUGAUACAGGGCUCUUUUGGGUCUUGUAAUUGGAAUGAGUACAAUUUAAACCUCUUAACGAGGAACAAUUGGAGGGCAAGUCUGGUGCCAGCAGCCGCGGUAAUUCCAGCUCCAAUAGCGUAUAUUAAAGUUGUUGCAGUUAAAAAGCUCGUAGUUGAAACUUGGGCCUGGCUGGCGGGUCCGCCUCACCGCGUGCACUCGUCCGGCCGGGCCUUCCUUCUGAAGAACCUCAUGCCCUUCACUGGGCGUGUUGGGGAAUCAGGACUUUUACUUUGAAAAAAUUAGAGUGUUCAAAGCAGGCCUUUGCUCGAAUACGUUAGCAUGGAAUAAUAAAAUAGGGCGUGCGUUUCUAUUUUGUUGGUUUCUAGAGACGCCGCAAUGAUUAACAGGAACAGUCGGGGGCAUCAGUAUUCAGUUGUCAGAGGUGAAAUUCUUGGAUUUACUGAAGACUAACUACUGCGAAAGCAUUUGCCAAGGAUGUUUUCAUUAAUCAGUGAACGAAAGUUAGGGGAUCGAAGACGAUCAGAUACCGUCGUAGUCUUAACCGUAAACUAUGCCGACUAGGGAUCGGGCGAUGUUCUUUUUCUGACUCGCUCGGCACCUUACGAGAAAUCAA
rnacentral:rRNA from 1 species